GCCAAGCCCUGUCAGAUCGUCUUCAUGCCUGGACCAGUAACCUGCCUGCCUGUCUGCGCUCUGACUCCUGUCUGUGAUUCUGAUCCUUUCUUGACUGCCUCCUUGUUCUACUGCCCCGACUAUCCCGACCUGCCUUCUGGAUCUCGACUACCCUCCGAUCUUCAGCCCCUCCGGUCUCCGACCACCAGAUGAGCGAGCCCAGACGCUUCACCACCCUCAGCCCGAUACGCCGCUCCAUCACUGGGGGACACACACACUAAGCACUUUGGACUGGACACCCCCGGACAUUUGGUGACCCCCGGAGCCCAGGUAACCCACAGGACCCGGAAAAACCCCAGAGCCCCAAGCACCCCUGGAACCCCUGACACCCCUGGCACUCCUAGCACCCCUGGAACCGGAACCUCCCAAGACCUCACGAUCAUCUCACUCCUCUUCCCCCCUGAACCCCUCAAUAAAGAACUCUGAAUUUGAA